GUGCUCGCUUCAGCAGCAUAUAUACUAAGAUUGGUACGAUACAGAUUAGCAUGACCCCUGCACAAGAAUGACAUACCAGUGUGUGAACUCCAUAUUUUU
ensembl:snRNA U6 U6 spliceosomal RNA